rnacentral:rRNA from 1 species
GACGAACGCUGGCGGCGUGCUUAACACAUGCCAGUCGAACGGAAAGGCCUCUUUCGGGGGGUACUCGGGUGGCGAACGGGUGAGUAACACGUGAGUAACCUGCCCUUGACUUUGGGAUAACUUCAGGAAACUGGGGCUAAUACCGGAUAGGAGCUCCUGCUGCAUGGUGGGGGUUGGAAAGUUUCGGCGGUUGGGGAUGGACUCGCGGCUUAUCAGCUUGUUGGUGGGGUAGUGGCUUACCAAGGCUUUGACGGGUAGCCGGCCUGAGAGGGUGACCGGCCACAUUGGGACUGAGAUACGGCCCAGACUCCUACGGGAGGCAGCAGUGGGGAAUAUUGCACAAUGGGUGGAAGCCUGAUGCAGCAACGCCGUGUGCGGGAUGACGGCCUUCGGGUUGUAAACCGCUUUCGCUCAUGACGAAGCUUUGUGUGACGGUAGUGGGUAAAGAAGCACCGGCUAACUACGUG